rnacentral:lncRNA from 1 species
UUUUAUCCAUCUAUUUCACCAAAAUCGUUUUUACAAUCUGUGCUAGUUAAGUUUCUGUUUUGUGUUAAAUUUUCGUCCAAAACAAGUCCCCCUUUAUUUUGAAGUCUUAGAUUAGUUAGAAUAUGUUUUGAUUUGUGUUUCUAAGUGUUUUGAUUCAAGUCUUCACCCAAUUUCGUCCAAGUUCUUGUUAGGUUCUCAAAACUGCCCAGAAAGUGGUUUUAGGCAGUUUUGAGUCAUUAGGUUGCUGUUUUGAGUUUUGUGUUUGUUCAAGUGUUUUAAACUUUAGUUUUGCAUUCUUUGAGUCUAGUUUAGUGUUUUAAACUUUGUUUUUAUGUUUUUAAGUCAGUUUUCAAGUGUUUAGCAAUCCCUCCUAAUCCCCGGUCUAGAACGAUCCCUACUUACAUACUUUACUACAUUUGUCAAAAGAGGGUUUAAUUUGUGUGUUAGUUUAAUUUUCACACCAGGAAGCUCGGAAGUUCAUGCAAUUCAAGUUCGCGUCGCUGGAAUUUCUAGGUGUUUCUUUUCCUUUGAUUUCAAUGUUUAAAUUCAAUUCUCUUUGUUUUGUGCGUAUGAGGAACUAAACCCCCCUUGGCUAGGGGGGGAUUCGAAAUACAUGUUUAUGCUUGUGUUAUGAUUUGAUUACUUCUAAUUGCGUUUCAUAAGUUGUGAAUUCAAUUUACUUAUCUAUGAGAAUUACAUUGAUUUGUGUGUGUUGGUUGAGAGUGCACGCUUAAUUAUCAUGCAUAAAUUGAAUGAUAGUAUAUAAGGAAAUUUCACCUAAUCGUUAUCGAAUUAUAUUCACAAGUAGUAAAGGUUGAUGAUCUCAAUCGCGUUAAGUAAAUUCUUGGCAU